rnacentral:rRNA from 1 species
GACGAACGCUGGCGGCGUGCUUAACACAUGCAAGUCGAACGGGCCCGCACCUUUUUUGGGGGCGGGUUGAGUGGCGAACGGGUGAGUAUCACGUGAGUAACCUGCCCUCCUCUCCUGGAUAACCGCUUGAAAGGGCGGCUAAUACGGGGUGGUCCGGUUGGUCCGCAUGGGCCGGUCGGGAUAGUUUCAUCUUCGGGUGUUUCGGUGGGGGAUGGGCUCGCGGCCUAUCAGCUUGUUGGUGGGGUGAUGGCCCACCAAGGCGGUGACGGGUAGCCGGCCUGAGAGGGUGGGCGGCCACACUGGGACUGAGACACGGCCCAGACUCCUGCGGGAGGCAGCAGUGGGGGGUAUUGCACAAUGGGCGGAAGCCUGAUGCAGCGACGUCGCGUGAGGGAUGGAGGCCUUCGGGUUGUGAACCUCUGUUUCCGGUGGUGAAGGCCCCGCCCCUGGUGGUGGGGUGACGUAGCCGGGAUGAAGCGCC